GGUUAUUCUCUGGAGUUCAACUUAUCGGGAGAGUCAUUUUGUGAUUUUUUUAUAUAGAUAGGAAGCUGUAGACCGUUAUAUUUAAAUCUGGUAGUUCUUUAGGUUGUUAGGCCUUGAUUUGAUAGACUGUUAGGAUAGUGAAUCCAUCCACUCACCUGUGAAUCAAGAUUAUUAGUUGUAGGUGUCAGUUAUGGAUUUUGUCCAUGUUCUAAAAGUUGUUGGGAGAUUCCAAUGAAUUGCCUAAGUAGCUAAAUAGGUUGAUGACUUGAGAUCUGUACAUGGUCGAGUUCCGCCUC
rnacentral:lncRNA from 1 species